rnacentral:rRNA from 1 species
GAUGAACGCUGGCGGCGUGCCUAACACAUGCAAGUCGAGCGAUUUACUUCGGUAAAGAGCGGCGGACGGGUGAGUAACGCGUGGGUAACCUGCCCUGUACACACGGAUAACAUACCGAGAGGUAUGCUAAUACGAGAUAAUAUACUUUUAUCGCAUGGUAGAAGUAUCAAAGCUUUUGCGGUACAGGAUGGACCCGCGUCUGAUUAGCUAGUUGGUAAGGUAACGGCUUACCAAGGCGACGAUCAGUAGCCGACCUGAGAGGGUGAUCGGCCACAUUGGAACUGAGACACGGUCCAAACUCCUACGGGAGGCAGCAGUGGGGAAUAUUGCACAAUGGGCGAAAGCCUGAUGCAGCAACGCCGCGUGAGCGAUGAAGGCCUUCGGGUCGUAAAGCUCUGUCCUCAAGGAAGAUAAUGACGGUACUUGAGGAGGAAGCCCCGGCUAACUACGUGCCAGCAGCCGCGGUAA